AAAAAUGAGUACUGUAGAAAAAAUAAUGUGGUAAAAUGUGAAAGAAAGGAAGACAAGCAAAGCCUUAAUCUGCAAAUUAAAAUUUUCAAGUGUUCUAAAGCGUGUUGCUCUUAUUGGUGAAUUAUCUUCUGCCCUUAUGGGCUAUAUACAAAUUUGAUGUCAUUUUCAACUUCUCGUUUAACGCUGUUUUCAGUUUUCUGUAUCAUCUUCAGAAAAACCUAAACUGUGUCUAAGUGUACAGAAUUGACUUCCUUGCACUUCUACGGAGAAUUUGUUUGAGAACUGAAUCCUUCUGUAUCUUUGAUUCUCUUGUUCCAAUUGAAGGAACCUUUUGUAGUAUUGUUUAUGUCAAUAUAUGAUCUUCACAGCAACACAAGAGUUUUGUGCAUAGUAUUAUCCCGUCUACAAAAUGCUAAUCAAGCCUCCUCGUCCUCACAGCAACUGCAGUUAUUCUGUUCUUUUCCAAUGUCCAAUUGGCCCUCUUAUGUGCUGUUGGUGUCAGUUACGCAGUCUUUAUUUUACAUGCCUCGUUUAGGAAAUUGACCCCUGCAAAGCAAUCUCAAAGAGACGGAAAUAGAAGGAUCGACCAGAGAUGAAGAUCAUGCAUUUUUAAUCGAACACUAUCCUUUGCAAUGUGCUGCUGAGAUGAACCACUAUCACUAUAUCCAAUCUUUUUGCCAGCCUUUCAAGUGAGUAGUUGCAGUACAGCUUAAUCUCUAGUUUAGUUUUCUGUGUUAAAACUGUAGUCAAUCACUUUUGAUUUAAAUUCACUUAUUUUCAUGAAUUAUACAGCAUUUUUUCUGCUUUUAUGCAUGAGGAGAGAAUUUUAUAAUUA